GGCUUCUUGGUCUAGAGGUAAUGAUUCUCGCUUCAGCUGCGAGAGGCGCCGGGUUCGAAUCCCGGAGAGGCCC
rnacentral:tRNA from 1 species